GGGGAUAUAGCUCAGUUGGUAGAGUACUUGCCUUGCAUGCAUAAGGCCCUGGGUUCAAUCCCCAGCACCA
rnacentral:tRNA from 1 species